GCCUGAGAGGGUGACCGGCCACACUGGGACUGAGACACGGCCCAGACUCCUACGGGAGGCAGCAGUGGGGAAUAUUGCACAAUGGGCGAAAGCCUGAUGCAGCAACGCCGCGUGAGGGAUGACGGCCUUCGGGUUGUAAACCUCUUUUAGCAGGGAAGAAGCGAAAGUGACGGUACCUGCAGAAAAAGCGCCGGCUAACUACGUGCCAGCAGCCGCGGUAAUACGUAGGGCGCAAGCGUUAUCCGGAAUUAUUGGGCGUAAAGAGCUCGUAGGCGGUUUGUCGCGUCUGCUGUGAAAUCCCGAGGCUCAACCUCGGGCCUGCAGUGGGUACGGGCAGACUAGAGUGCGGUAGGGGAGAUUGGAAUUCCUGGUGUAGCGGUGGAAUGCGCAGAUAUCAGGAGGAACACCGAUGGCGAAGGCAGAUCUCUGGGCCGUAACUGACGCUGAGGAGCGAAAGGGUGGGGAGCAAACAGGCUUAGAUACCCUGGUAGUCCACCCCGUAAACGUUGGGAACUAGUUGUGGGGUCCAUUCCACGGAUUCCGUGACGCAGCUAACGCAUUAAGUUCCCCGCCUGGGGAGUACGGCCGCAAGGCUAAAACUCAAAGGAAUUGACGGGGACCCGCACAAGCGGCGGAGCAUGCGGAUUAAUUCGAUGCAACGCGAAGAACCUUACCAAGGCUUGACAUAUACGAGAACGGGCCAGAAAUGGUCAACUCUUUGGACACUCGUAAACAGGUGGUGCAUGGUUGUCGUCAGCUCGUGUCGUGAGAUGUUGGGUUAAGUCCCGCAACGAGCGCAACCCUCGUUCUAUGUUGCCAGCACGUAAUGGUGGGAACUCAUGGGAUACUGCCGGGGUCAACUCGGAGGAAGGUGGGGAUGACGUCAAAUCAUCAUGCCCCUUAUGUCUUGGGCUUCACGCAUGCUACAAUGGCCGGUACAAAGGGCUGCAAUACCGUGAGGUGGAGCGAAUCCCAAAAAGCCGGUCCCAGUUCGGAUUGAGGUCUGCAACUCGACCUCAUGAAGUCGGAGUCGCUAGUAAUCGCAGAUCAGCAACGCUGCGGUGAAUACGUUCCCGGGUCUUGUACACACCGCCCGUCAAGUCAUGAAAGUCGGUAACACCUGAAGCCGGUGGCCUAACCCUUGUGGAGGGAGCCGUCGAAG
rnacentral:rRNA from 1 species